rnacentral:rRNA from 1 species
GACGAACGCUGGCGGCGUGCUUAACACAUGCAAGUCGAACGGAAACGCCCUGCUUUUGUGGGGUGCUCGAGUGGCGAACGGGUGAGUAACACGUGAGUAACCUGCCCUUGACUUUGGGAUAACUUCAGGAAACUGGGGCUAAUACCGGAUAGGAGCUCCUGCUGCAUGGUGGGGGUUGGAAAGCUUCGGCGGUUGGGGAUGGACUCGCGGCUUAUCAGCUUGUUGGUGGGGUAGUGGCUUACCAAGGCUUUGACGGGUAGCCGGCCUGAGAGGGUGACCGGCCACAUGGGGACUGCGAGACGGCCCAGACGCCUACGGGAGGCAGCAGGGGGGAAUAUUGCGCAAUGGGCGGAAGCCUGAUGCAGCAACGCCGCGUGCGGGAUGACGGCCUUCGGGUUGUAAACCGCUUUCGCCUGUGACGAAGCGUGAGUGACGGUAAUGGGUAAAGAAGCACCGGCUAACUACGUG